AUUGAACGCUGGCGGCAGGCCUAACACAUGCAAGUCGAGCGAGCGGCGGACGGGUGAGUAAUGUAUGGGGACUGCCCGAUAGAGGGGGAUAACUACUGGAAACGGUAGCUAAUGCCGCAUACUAUCGGAUAACCCAUAUGGGAUUAGCUAGUGGGUGAGGUAAUGGCUCACCUAGCCGACGAUCCCUAGCUGGUCUGAGAGGAUGAUCAGACACACUGGUACGGGGACACGGCCCAGACUCCUACGGAGGCAGCGGUGGGGAACAUUGGACAAGGGGCGCAAGCCUGAUGCAGCCAUGCCGCGUGUAUGAAGAAGGCCCUAGGGUUGUAAAGUACUUUAAGUCGGGAGGCGUUACCGACAGAAGAAGCACCGGCUAACUCCGUGCCAGCAGCCGCGGUAAUAC
rnacentral:rRNA from 1 species